AACUUUCAGCAACGGAUCUCUUGGCUCUCGCAUCGAUGAAGAACGCAGCGAAAUGCGAUAAGUAAUGUGAAUUGCAGAAUUCAGUGAAUCAUCGAAUCUUUGAACGCACCUUGCGCCCUUUGGCUAUUCCGAAGGGCAUGCCUGUUUGAGUAU
rnacentral:rRNA from 1 species